rnacentral:misc_RNA from 1 species
GUGCAAAAACCCCACGUGUGGCGCGCAAUCGUAAUAUCAGGAAGUAGCAUUCUUUCCAUAUUGAGUGGUUUGAGAAUCGGACACUGAUUAAGAAGUGGUAUUAAUAGUACAUCAUGAGUUCUUCUGAGUGUUACAAAUGCCACCGUACUGGUCAUUUUGCUCGAGAGUGUACACAGAGUGAUGGAAGAGGAGGUGGAGGAGGAUACAGAGGACGUGGUGGUGGAGGGGGUUUUCGUGGUGGCCGUAACAACCAACGAGUUUCUUGCUACAACUGUGGGAAAAGUGGCCACAUUGCACGAGAAUGCAGGGAACAAGAGAGAACCUGCUAUAUGUGUGGCGCCCAAGGGCAUAUAUCACGGGAUUGUGAGCAAGAGGAUAGGAAAGUAAAAUGCUAUGUCUGUGGCAAGAAUGGCCAUAUUUCACGAGAGUGUCCAGAAGGUGAGAAAGAUGACCGCAAGUGUUAUAACUGUGGAGAAACUGGACAUAUAAGUCGGGAUUGCCCUGAAGGUGGUGAAGCUGAUGACACAGUUUGCUAUCGUUGCAACGAGAAGGGACACAUCGCUCGCAAUUGUCGUUCCACUCGUACCGGUAACAAGUGCUAUCAUUGUGGCGAGUUUGGCCAUAUUGCUCGUGAUUGUGAAUUGAAAGCCUAACCUCUCCUGCCUACCCACGUCACAGCCUCUUGAAUGUGUUGGUCGUUUGGCACAUGUGAGAUCCAGCUCCUUACACCCUAGCUGCAUCUGGCCGAGACAAGCUGGUCUUGAGCUGUGGAUGUCUUGAAUUUUGAUGUUGUAGGUGAUCUUCAGAACUGGGGGCUGGGUGUGGCCUGUUGGUUAUUGUGCCUGACUGUGAAUCCAAGUGUCCAUGGUUCACGCUUUGUUGCUUCAAAAAUCAUGCCCUGCACUAAGGGGGCAUGGGUGUGUUGUGUUAAAAGAGUGGUGAUCAAAGCCCAGGAGUUAGUUGUGGGUGCAGUGAGUUCAAAUUUAAGGAUAGAUAAUAUAGCUAUUUCUUAGCUUUGUACAAAUUUCCAAACCAACUUUCAGAACUGAUUAAAUUGUGUUUGCAAAAAUGGUCUUCAUACCUGAUUUUUGAUGAAGUUAUCUUCAUGAAUUAGCAAUUAGUAUAAUAAGAACCAAUUGCAAUUGGGUACAGAAUGUUUGGUAAUAAUUGUAUUGGUCAAAAUUAUUAUAAGAUUGUUUCGUGGUAGCCAACAGAAAUGUGCUCAGUGCUGCAAAAAAGUGUUUAAUGGUAACCAGUUGAAACUAUCUUCAAACUUAACCAAAAUUCAUUUCUUAAUAGCCCAAUGAACUUUUUUUUUUAAAUAAAAUAUUAAGGUAAUAUUUUGCUAAUUGAUUUGUAAGGACGAGGUUCAGCCAAAAUAAUUCAUACAAGAGCAACAUAUUUUCUUUCAUUUCAUUUGUUUCUGGCUAAAAAAAAAGUAAUUCUGAUGAGAUAAGAAAAGCUGUUACAGUUACAGCAAGUUUUGCCAGUAUAAUUUCAUAUGUUCAGGGAUGAGAAUUGGCAGGUUUAUAUAAUUUCUGUUGUCAACUUUGUCACCAACCUAACUAAUUCAAAUUCAGUGAGAAAAAUGUUGGGUGGGGGGAUUUUACAACUAGUAGGCUUGAUUAGAGAUUGCCUUGUCAGCUUUGAUGUUUACUCGGCUGAAAUUUAUGUAUGAAGCUCUUUUUAACCGACUAAUUACAAAUCUUAAAACUUCUUUUGAAGACAAAGGUAUUCAAACACCACAUAAAUGCAAAAACUCCUUCAAAUGCAAUGGCGGGUGAUUGAAUGGGAUUAUCAUAGAGGUAGGCUUUAAAUUUUUUAUCAUUAUCCUUAGUUCUGUACACUUUUUUUUGCUCAUUUACUUAGUACUCCAUAGAAUAGACAUUUUCCUUUUAUUGGUCAUUAUUUUUGUGUGAAAACAUUUAGAUGAAGCCAUUUUAUAGAGAGAGACACAAUUCAAAGAACGUUGAGGGGGGUGUACAUUAAAAUUCUCAAAAUUGUUUUCAAUAAUUAAAGACAUACAAAUGAAAACAAAUUACAAAGGUAUCAGAUUUCACUGACUUCAAAAUAAUUUUCAGUCUUAAAUUAUAUAUGGGAGGGCAAAAUUGUGGGCCGAAAUUACACUUGAGAAAACAAUCCACACUUAUAUAACUUUGCCUACUUGUUUGUUUAUUAUUAUUAGGAAAAAGAACUUAGUAUCAUUAUCUCUUCUAAAAGACUUUUUUUUUUUAAAUAACUUGUCAGUAAUUUGACCUUAUGGAAACUGAUUUGUGUAAGUGUUGCCUAAAUAUUUAAUGAAAUAAAUUUGUAUUUCACUAUUUUAAUUAUUGCAGCUAUAAACGUGUAUGUGGUAUUUUUCUAAAUAUUUUAUGAAAUGACCAGGUUGUGUGCUACACAAUCUGUAAUUUUGAUCAUUGGAAAUUGAAUUGAAGUGGCAGAAGUCUAAUGUAGUGAUCAUCAUAGUAAAUAAUAUGAACAUGCAGUAUUUCAAAAUGACAUCAGAGAUCUCACUGAUCCCUCUGUCUUCCAGAGGUCUUUGUAAUUUUGAUCAUUGGAAAUUGAAUUGAAGUGGCAGAAGUCUAAUGUAAUGAUCAUCGUAGUAAAUAAUAUGAACAUACAGUAUUUCAAAAUGACAUCAGAGAUCUCACUGAUCCCUCUGUCUUCCAGAGGUCUCUGGUCUUUAUGGGCUGGGACCCAGGACCAGCCAGAGGUUUCACUUGCUGUUCUCAUCCCUGUAUGUUAUUAACUGCCAAGUACAUACAUAUUUUGCAUGUUUGAAAAGAAAAUUUUUGUUUUUAAAAAGAUCAUUUAAAAGAGAUUUGAAAUAUCUAUUAAAUCAAACAAUUUAUAAAUUUUUUGUGUGUGUGUGACUUGGUGUGACAAUACACGAGUCACUAUGUAAUGUAGGUGAGAUGGAGUGUAAAGUUACAAUUUGUGAAUGAAAAACACCUUCAGUGAUGGUAUGUUAAAAAUUACCUUAUUUUGGGGCAUGAAUAAAAGAGUUUAUAGCUAUUAUUGGUAAAUUACACACCUUAAAGUGUGAAUAUAUAUAUAUAAAGAUAUCUUAGUCAUUGUAAGAAGAAGAAAAAUGCACUCAAAUGCAAUGGUUUCAUGUGGUCCCAGUGAAAGUUGUGUAUUGAUAAUGUUGGCCACUUUUUUUUUCAUUUAACAGUUUUAACCAUUUAUCUGAAUUUAUCUUGUAACAGCAUUGAUACAGGAUAAAAUGUUGAUGUGGUAGAAUAUAGAUUAACUACUAAUGUUAAGUUAAAAAUCGUACAUUGUGUUUGAAGUAAAAGAGAUCUUAGAAUAUAAUUUUGGUGGGUUAUAAAUUAAAAACUGAUGAAUAUAAGUUAAAAACAGUACAAUGGAAUGUAGAAUAAUUAAUGGUGGUAAGUCAACCAUAAAAUCUGUGUGAAAGAGAUAAUAUGGCUGUGUUGGCCUAUGCAACCCACGUAUAGUGUUUUAAUUAGAUAUAUGUAUUGAAUCAUUGUUUUGGUAGUGCGCAGUGUUUGAAAUUACUUGGUUAUGUAAUAAUCUGUAUUUGGCAACCAAAGCAUUAUAUUUGAUUUUUGUUCUGAAUUGCAAGAAAUUCUCAAGUAUCUCUGUUGAAUACAGUUUUCUAUUUCAGGAUAUUUGUAUUCAUACUGUUGUGUUAUUUAUGCUGCUGUUCAAAAUUAGUGUUCAUAUUCAAUUUGUUAGAAUGUGUAUGAUGAACAUCUGGAACUGUCUCAUGUUUAAAAAAAAAAUCAAAUUUUAAUUUGACUUAUGUUUGACCAUUAAUUGAUAAAAAAGACUAACACAGUGGAAAAUGUAGUCAUUUUGAGUUUGAAAUUAAAACAUUACCAUAGCUCUGUAUGAUAGUAUUGAAAGCUAAAGUUUCCUGUAGUAGUUGGUGAGGAUUCUAGUUUUGUUUUUGUUUUAAUAGACAUUUUCUCCUUAUGAGAAUAAAGUUUUAUGGAAAGUAA